ACACCCAGAGACCCAAACACUAAAUAACCUAAACCUAGCAAGUAGCAGCGCCACGCUUAGUCUCUCAUAGUCUCUCUCUAACAAAGGGACAUCAAUCCCCAAUCCCCAAUACACAGCCGUCGAGCCCCUUCCUCCCAGCAGCGUUUUCCUUCACCGUCGCCAACUCGCCGAACAGAGCCUCGCGGACAGCACCUCGGCGCGGUCCUCUCUCCCUCCCUCCCUCCCUCCUUUCGCAGUUCACAGUUGCCGUUUCCCUCCCUCGCGUCGCAACUUCUCCCUUUCCCUCCCUCGCUCUCGCAGCCUCUCCCUUCCUGUUGUGCUGGUGCUGCUGUUUUAAUUUGUAAAAUAGAAGAUUCGCCUUGAGCAGGAGAAUGAAGGCGUUCCUAGCACUGCAAUUCGCGAGAUUUCUCUCCUCAAGGAAAUGUAGCACAUGAAUAUUGUUAGGUCAAUGCGACUCUUUGGUUUGAGUGGAGCAAGAUCGAGACGCCUACGGAUGAAGUUGUUGUGCCUUAUGAUAGUCUAGCUCCAACUCCUGAAGGUGUGUGACAGGUGAAAGGAUGCACUUCAGCUUUGCUGCAAUUUGCAAAGACAACAAACAUCCCCGUUCUUUUGGUCUAUGUCCAGGGAUCACAAUUAUAAUGUGUUAUCUUUCAUUACAAGAAGAAAGAUCACCCAAUGCAGUGCAAGAGAAAGGUUUUAAUUUUGAUGAUACUAGGAUUAUGAGAGGAGCAUGGAGGAAUGAGUCUAAUCCUGAUAUCUGCAAGUUACAUAGGAGUUCUUCGGAUGCCUUGCUAUAUAUCAACAAAUGCACAGAUGCAUAGAAAUACGACUCUUCCUAUUUUAAGGGUUUACUAAAAUAGAUGAUUCUCCUCAUAUUUUAUACAUAAUAAUAAAAGGGAGGAUGAUGCACAAAACAUGUCUACCUUGCCCAGCAGUAUCUCAGCAAAUCAACCAACGAUGAUUGCGAACAUAGAUACUAAUGUAGAUAACCUACAAUUUUGAAGAAGCAAGUAUGCAGUUUAAUACAUUUACCUUACUGUAUCAACUGCCAAGUCUUAGGUGGUGUUUAUAUGUAUUUUUCAUUUUUUUAAAAUUUUCAAUGUACAAUAAGAAAUUGAGAUGUAUAAUGGAUAAUGAAUUUUAUAAAAGUAGGAUCACAUUUGUACGGGUAAAUUGAAACAUC